rnacentral:rRNA from 1 species
CCUACGGGAGGCAGCAGUGAGGAAUAUUGGUCAAUGGGCGCGAGCCUGAACCAGCCAAGUAGCGUGAAGGAUGACUGCCCUACGGGUUGUAAACUUCUUUUAUAAGGGAAUAAAGUGAGGCACGUGUGUCUUUUUGUAUGUACGUUAUGAAUAAGGAUCGGCUAACUCCGUGCCAGCAGCCGCGGUAAUACGGAGGAUCCGAGCGUUAUCCGGAUUUACUGGGUUUAAAGGGAGCGUAGAUGGGUUGUUAAGUCAGUUGUGAAAGUUUGCGGCUCAACCGCAAAAUUGCAAUUGAUACUGGCAGUCUUGAGUACAGUUGAGGUAGGCGGAAUUCGUGGUGUAGCGGUGAAAUGCUUAGAUAUCACGAAGAACCCCGAUUGCGAAGGCAGCUUACUAAACUGUGACUGACGUUGAUGCUCGAAAGUGUGGGGAUCAAACAGGAUUAGAUACCCGAGUAGUC